rnacentral:antisense_RNA from 1 species
CAGGCUCUAGACGGAUGGGUCUCUAGGACUAUUUUCAACUUGCCCCAUUGGGGAGAAUGAGGACAUGAGACACCAAGAAGAUGAAGUUUUCAGGAGCAGAGGAGUAACUUUACACCAAGAUGUCUGAACUUCAUUGACUCACUACCUGGAGCCAUUUUUUAGCUGUUAAGAAACAAAAAAAGGAGCCUGGGGCUUCUGACUCUUUCACCAGGCUUAGGGGAGUGAGAGGAGGGUUUAGACACAGGUAGGGCCUCUUGGCCCCUUGGUACAGCCCUGCUGAGCCAUCUCCUCCUUUGGCUGGGUGACUCCUUUCUGCUGCCUUGACAACUCCUGGAGGAGAGGAGAAACAGAUGGGGCCUCUGGGCUCCUCCCAGCCCUGUAGGGUGGGGCUCCUGCCCUCUUUCUUGAAGUUUACCUGUCGCUGCCAAAAGUUCUGCUCCCUUCGUCUUUUCUUUGAAUCC